rnacentral:rRNA from 1 species
GAUCAUGGCUCAGGACGAACGCUGGCGGCGCGCCUAACACAUGCAAGUCGAACGAGCGUAGAGAGAGCUUGCUUUCUCGAGCGAGUGGCGAACGGGUGAGUAACGCGUGGAGGAACCUGCCUCAAAGAGGGGGACAACAGUUGGAAACGACUGCUAAUACCGCAUAAGCCCACGGGUCGGCAUCGACCAGAGGGAAAAGGAGCAAUCCGCUUUGAGAUGGCCUCGCGUCCGAUUAG